rnacentral:lncRNA from 1 species
UGAUCUGCCUAGCCCAAAACAUAACCCGUCCACCCCAAACCUGACCUGCCCGACUCGCCUAAAUUGACAUAGAAACUAUAGAGCCCUAAUCUCCCAAAGCUCAGAUGAUGCCUCACUAUUCACUCGACUCGAUCACCCAAAUCAGAUCUUAAUUCACUCAAGAUCCAUAGCAAGCGGAUUCAAUCUCCAACCACGCGUUCCCUACUUCUCUCCUCUUGCCGUUAUAACAAUUUCUGGCACCAAAGAUUCCCCUCCUCCUCACUCACUCGAAAUCGAGAUAUAUCGUUCAAUUGGAAGGUUCUGGAAGACAAUCAUUGGACGAGUGUGAGGGGUUUGAUCGAUUUCACUCAAUCCGAGCCCCAAACACAUCGGGUGCUCGUUUUCAAAUAGGACCGGUUCUGAUUUUGGGAGAGGGGGAGAAUUCUUUUAGAAAGGCGGGGGGACUGGGGUUCUAAAAGUUUUUCUUCUGUUAUCUAUUCUUGAAUUUUUGUUGGUAAUUUUAGAAAAACAAACAAAAAGGGGGUAUACUCUAAGUUUUGAUUUUUGAGUUUACUUUCAUUUCGAGAAAAAUUUCAAAAAAAAAAAGAUUUCUCGGCAUUUUUUUCAUGAUUCCUCGUUCUAAUAUGGGGCUCGGUUGAAUUUAAGAUGGUAAUUGUGUCGAGUGUUGAACCCUGGUGCUUUUUCAAAUUUAUGUUCGGGCUUCAUUAUUUAUGCUCGAUAUUGCUGCUGUUUGUUUUUAUUUCCACUGCUAGAAUCACUUGUAUUAGCAUUUAAUUAAGGUUAAUCAAAAGUGUUUACCGAUUCAGGUUCAUCUUUAAUCCUUUUGUUGUUUUACUUUUGGGUGUUAUUAAAGUAUGGUAAGAACCAUAAUAAAUUAAGGUAUUAAAGUGGGUUGAAUACAAAUCGUUCUGGUGUUAGUUUUUUUCAUGUCAUGAUACGAGUUUACUAUGGAAUUUCUGAGUUUGCUCUUAUGUUGCUGUCAUUUUGAGCUUAUGUGGGAUUGAAUCAAUGAGUUCAAAUCUAGUUUCUAAUUGAUUUGUGACUAGCAGAUUUUCGGUAAAGUCUGUUGAGUUAUGUCAAUUUUCUGUGAUAUAUUGUAGAUGAAAAUUUGGUUCGAGUCUAUUUGUUGCCAUUGUUUGGACUUAAAACUAAAUUUCGAGGUUCAGUUUUGUGAAACUGAACUGACCAUUAAUUUAUGAAAAUGUAACUAAGUUCAGAUUGUUUUUCAUCUGAGAAAACAAAAAGGAAGUCUUGUGAUUAUUCAUGAAAGUUCAAGGUUUCAAUUGUCGGAAUAUAGUCCAUGCUCAUGUUAACAAUGUGUUGUAAUUCUGAUUUAUUGGUUUGGAGCAAAUCCGUCAUUUAGUAUUCUAUUCCUGGAGCUGUGUUCGAAUCAUACCAUAUUAGACAUUACAAACUUAUAGGUAGGAUCUCAUGCGACCUCUAUGUUCAUGGACUGCUCUCAUGUCAAUGGAAUGUACGUAUAUUCUCGAGUUAUAUCAUUUUCCUACUUCUGUUGUGAUA